rnacentral:rRNA from 1 species
GACGAACGCUGGCGGCGUGCCUAAUACAUGCAAGUCGAGCGAAGUUUUUCUGGUGCUUGCACUAGAAAAACUUAGCGGCGAACGGGUGAGUAACACGUAAAGAACCUGCCUCAUAGACUGGGACAACUAUUGGAAACGAUAGCUAAUACCGGAUAACAGUAUUUCUCGCAUGAGAGAUAUUUAAAAGUUGGUUAUGCUAACACUAUGAGAUGGCUUUGCGGUGCAUUAGCUAGUUGGUGGGGUAAAGGCCCACCAAGGCGACGAUGCAUAGCCGACCUGAGAGGGUGAUCGGCCACACUGGGACUGAGACACGGCCCAGACUCCUACGGGAGGCAGCAGUAGGGAAUCUUCCGCAAUGGGCGAAAGCCUGACGGAGCAACGCCGCGUGAGUGAAGAAGGAUUUCGGUUCGUAAAGCUCUGUUGUUAGGGAAGAAUGGAUAUGUAGUAACUAUACAUAUAAGAGACGGUA